GGCGCCACUCAUGACGGAGGGGUCAGUGCCACAACAAACGGCACCAAAGUGGCAACGAGUUGGACCCGGCAACAAGAGGUACUAUGAGGAACCUGAGGAAUCUUGUUCGCCGAAAAGAACCGUUGUUCAGCAGCAGGCAAUCAAGGCAUGUUUCAUUCCACUGAAACGGCUGGUGUUCAGCACCGAGACCUUGGCUGCCGUGAAUGCUGUGUUUCCAUCCCGUCUUCCAAAUCCAAAGGAGACCCCGGUGGUUGCUUCCAAAUGCACCAAGGUACACGCACGUAAAUUUUCUGGCAAUGUCAGGGCCAUUUUUUCAUUUGUUCAUAUU